UACGUAGGUGGCAAGCGUUGUCCGGAUUUAUUGGGUUUAAAGGGUGCGUAGGCGGCUUUGUAAGUCAGUGGUGAAAUAUGGCAGCUUAACUGUCAGGGUGCCAUUGAUACUGCGGAGCUUGAGUACAGAUGAGGUAGGCGGAAUUGACGGUGUAGCGGUGAAAUGCUUAGAUAUCGUCAAGAACACCUAUAGCGAAGGCAGCUUACUAGGCUGUAACUGACGCUGAGGCGCGAAAGUGUGGGGAUCAAACAGG
rnacentral:rRNA from 1 species